rnacentral:rRNA from 1 species
UGGGAGUAAUACCGUAUGUGCCCUUUAGUUGUAGUNACUAGGGGGGAAAGAUUUAAUCGCCUUUGGAUUGGCCCGCGUUGGAUUAGGUAGUUGGUGGGGUAAUGGCCUACCAAGCCGACGAUCCAUAGCUGGUUUGAGAGGAUGAUCAGCCACACUGGGACUGAGACACGGCCCAGACUCCUACGGGAGGCAGCAGUGGGGAAUCUUAGACAAUGGGCGCAAGCCUGAUCUAGCCAUGCCGCGUGAUCGAUGAAGGCCUUAGGGUUGUAAAGAUCUUUCAGAUGGGAAGAUAAUGACGGUACCAUCAGAAGAAGCCCCGGCUAACUCCGUG